rnacentral:sRNA from 1 species
UUUUUUUUGUCUUUUUUUU